rnacentral:lncRNA from 1 species
UGCUGCUGUAAUGUAUAGCAUGGCAACUAUGAUGGCAAUAAUACUCUACUGCAUCUUUGAACAUCGUUAACAAAGCAAAGUUUAAAAGUUCUUACCACAAGCAAAAAAAUACUGUAAUAUGUGUGGUGAUGGAUGUUAACUAGACUUAUUUUGGCAACCCUUCCACAAUAUAUACAAAUAUCAAAUAAUUAAGUUCUGCACUUGAAACUAAUGUUGUAUGUCAAUUAUACCUCAAUUUUAAAGUGUCCAUUAAUAAAUAUAUCAUUCUGUUCACUCUGACCUAAGGCCCUCAUAGGGUGAAAAGACCAGUAGCGUUUCUUCAUAAUGGGGAGGUUUUCUAAUAACACAGGAUCACAUAGCUCUAUAUAAAAAUAUUUAAAAACUAACCUCAAGGGACAUUUUGGUAUAAAUACUAUUUAUACUAUGCAAAUACUUUUAAAAAGUACUGCAGUUUCUGAGAAGUUGAUCAUAAGACAGAUUAGGGAGGAAGAAAAAAAAUCCAGACCAGCAAUUUACAAAUCAGCUCCUCUAGGACAGAAGAUGUACUUAACAAACAAACUUUUUUCAAGACACAGAGACCCAGAUCAGACUUCUUCCAUGGCUGCGCUUGCUGGUCUCCACACAAUGAGAAAUAGAUACUUAAGGUUGCUGCCAUAUAUCAAAGAGUGUGGACCAUCCUGGAAUGUGUCCUCUGAAAUACAUAUAGACUGCCAGGACUUUAACGAGAGCUACUCCCUUUGCAAAAAAGGAAACAGUCUUCUUUCUCGUGAAAUGUUUGUGAAUGAGUGUAGAAGCAUGACUUCUGGACUAGAGGCACUGCUGAUUAUAACAUUGAAAACUGCAGCCGAAAAGCUUAAAGCCUCUGACCCCACAGAAUGUGCCCAGUGGUGCCCUCCAAACUCCAAAUGUGUCAAUGCUAACAUCUGACACUGCACUUUGGGGUUCAAUUCAUCAUCUGGAGAAAUCAUCACCAGCUGUUCAGAGAGUUGUGAUGGUACAGAGGUUUGGAGGGAGGGUGGCAUACCAAAGUUGUGGG